ensembl:lncRNA
UUUUGGGCGUCACUAUUAUUCAAAAUCACACCUUUAACACACUUUAUUUAGCUGAUGACUCGGUGUUAGUCUGGACCAGAUCCAUCAAACUGGACUCCUGCGUGUUGAACCAGUCUUCCCAUCCACCAGGUACCCCUCAGGAUCCUGCUCUACCUGUGGGCCGUCCUGGCGGGCAUGUCGCGGGUGCUGUUGGGUAAACACCACCUGUCGGACGUCAGCUGUGGCUUCGCUCUGGGCCUCCUGCACUUCAGCCUGGUGGAGUCCGUGUGGCUGGACUCUGACACCUGCCAGACCCUCAUCUCCAUCGGCACGCUGCGCUGGACUCCGCUCAUCUGAACUGGUCUGGACCGGCUUGGCAGGAUUGCACACAUUUUUUUAAUCUGGCCCGUGUAGAUUAUUAGAAAUAAACUGACGACUCGGUUCAUAAAUUAACAAUUAAUAAAAUGCAUUUAGUGUACACCAGAAUAUGAUACACCAUGAUUCUGAACUAUCAAUAAAGUAACAAGAUUAUUAUAAAACCACUGUAAUUCUUCAAUAGAAUAAUACGAAUGUAGAGCUACGAUUGUAUUUAAUAUAAUGUAACCAACCGAAAUGCAUGCAUGGAUUACUUGUUACCACAACUGAUGUUGACUGAGAGACAUUCGAGGAGACCACUCCCAUGGGCGUGGACACCUGUAGGCGCCCAUUGUUCUGGUUCGCUGGUGGAGGCACUGUGGGGGGUCAAUGGGCCCUGUGGGCAGCGGCUCCUCAGCUGAGAUGUUCUUUUUAGCACAACACCCUUUCUUUUAUUAAAUAAAUAAUUUGAUUUUAACUUUCAUUACAAGAUGUCUUCUGUCCUUCCGGAGUUUCUUCAUAUUUAGAACACAACACCCGUCUGGACUCGAUGCUCCAUUGAGACCAGUUUGGAGAAACUCUAUGACGACUGGGGAGUCUUGGAAAUGGAGCUGCUUCAGAUAGUGGUUCAGAGAUGUUGCAAAGAGCAAGACACCCUAAAACUAAGCCCCUCCCCUCCCAGUUGACUACCAAUAAGCCCCUCCUCUCCCAGUUGACUACCAAUAAGCCCCUCCUCUCCCAAUUGACUACCAAUAAGCCCUCCCAGGGGCCUAACUUUAAACUCCUGCUGCACGCUGAUGGAUGUUAUACUUCUAUUGAUGUAUUGAUAUCUAUUGAUGUGUGUCAUCACAAGUUCAGUCAUAUAAUUGAUUCAAAACAUCUAACGCUGAAUGAAGAGAUAAAUUAACCGACGUUAUUUAGCAGCAAAACAAACUGAAACCACAGAAAACAAAGUCUAAAUCUGUUAAAUAAAAUCCUUUCAUCCGUCUGAACUGAAUCUGUUUUCACUUUAAACGUAUCA